GUGUCAAGUAUUGAACCUGACUAUGGCUAAAAUAAGAAUUACCUGAUGAACUCAAAUUUAAAGGAUUUUUCAAUGUUUAACAAGUGAAGUUUUAACUUGCUUGUUGAAAAAAAUAUACUUGAAAUCGACAAUGAUCUUAGGAAAAGAAGAAGCCGUUGAAGAUGAAGCAACAAGAGUUUGCAAGUCUUCAAAAGAGAAGCCUCAUGGGAAAAUAAGUUUGUGGAUAAAGGAAGAGAAAAAGGUACUGAUUGAAGAUUAAAACUAAAUAUAUAUUGGGGAGCAGAGUGGCUCUGCAAGGUGGCACAAUAGUUUAUAUUUCCCCACCUAGAGUCAAGAAGACUCAUCUUCCUGCAUUCAAAUCUGGACCCAGAUAAGCUCAAGAAGAAUGAUACAACUGAAAAAAGGCUGAACAAUAAGAUAUGUUGAAAGUGGUCUUUUUGUAAUUAAAAAAAAUGUCAACUCAAAUUUUCCAUGGAAAAAUAAUUUUAAGACCUCUCUAAAAUUUUGCAUUAUGAAAAAAGAAUGAAUGAAGUAUAAGUUAAGAUGAUAGUGAAGAAAAUAAAGGACAGAGAGUAAGAAUAUCUACA
rnacentral:lncRNA from 1 species